CUGUGAAUAUCUAUCUAUAUAAAAUAUUUUUACUAUAAACUGUCAAUAUCUGAGAGAGUUUUAUCUACAUAUUUCUCUUCACAUACAGAUAUGAUCACCACAUAAGGUCAACGUGAUCAGUGCCCUCAACAGAGACUUCACAAACAUGAACCCUCUUCCAGAAUACAGCAGACACCAAAUGUUUUUUAACAGCUGAAAAUUUUCAGAGGACACUGAAAAUUGCUUUGAAGAUCUUUAUAACUCUGUGCCACCUGCUCAAGAACAGGAACAACAACCCCAGUUGAAUAGAAAAAUGACCAAAAUCCUCUCUAUUGACACCUACAGUUUGGACUUGCAAAGAAAACUUAGG
rnacentral:lncRNA from 1 species